CUGAUGUUAGCGGCGGACGGGUGAGUAACACGUGGGUAACCUGCCUGUAAGACUGGGAUAACUCCGGGAAACCGGGGCUAAUACCGGAUGGUUGUUUGAACCGCAUGGUUCAAACAUAAAAGGUGGCUUCGGCUACCACUUACAGAUGGACCCGCGGCGCAUUAGCUAGUUGGUGAGGUAACGGCUCACCAAGGCAACGAUGCGUAGCCGACCUGAGAGGGUGAUCGGCCACACUGGGACUGAGACACGGCCCAGACUCCUACGGGAGGCAGCAGUGGUCAUAGC
rnacentral:rRNA from 1 species